rnacentral:rRNA from 1 species
CGGGUGAGUAACACGUGGAUAACCUACCUAUAAGACUGGGAUAACUUCGGGAAACCGGAGCUAAUACCGGAUAAUAUUUUGAACCGCAUGGUUCAAAAGUGAAAGACGGUCUUGCUGUCACUUAUAGAUGGAUCCGCGCUGCAUUAGCUAGUUGGUAAGGUAACGGCUUACCAAGGCAACGAUGCAUAGCCGACCUGAGAGGGUGAUCGGCCACACUGGAACUGAGACACGGUCCAGACUCCUACGGGAGGGCAGCAGCC